rnacentral:rRNA from 1 species
GACGAACGCUGGCGGCGUGCUUAACACAUGCAAGUCGAACGGAAAGGCCCUGCUUGCGUGGGGUGCUCGAGUGGCGAACGGGUGAGUAACACGAGAGUAACCUGCCCUUGACUUUGGGAUAACUUCAGGAAACUGGGGCUAAUACCAGAUAGGAGCUCCUGCUGCAUGGUGGGGGUGGGAAAGUUUCGGCGGUCGGGGAUGGACUCGCGGCUUAUCAGCUUGUUGGUGGGGUAGUGGCUUACCAAGGCUUUGACGGGUAGCCGGCCUGAGAGGGUGACCGGGCACAUUGGGACUGAGAGACGGCCCAGACUGGUACGGGAGGCAGCAGUGGGGAAUAUUGCACAAUGGGCGGACGCCUGAUGAAGCAACGCCGCGGGCGGGAUGACGGCCUUCGGGUUGUAAACCGCUUUCGCCUGUGACGCAGCGUGAGUGACGGUAAUGGGUAAAGAAGCACCGGCUAACUACGUG